rnacentral:rRNA from 1 species
UACGGAGGGUGCAAGCGUUGUCCGGAUUUAUUGGGUUUAAAGGGUGCGUAGGCGGCCUAUUAAGUCAGGGGUGAAAAGACUGCAGCUCAACUGUAGCAGUGCCUUUGAUACUGAUGGGCUUGAGUACAGAUGAGGCUGGCGGAAUGGGUGGUGUAGCGGUGAAAUGCAUAGAUACCAUCCAGAACACCGAUUGCGAAGGCAGCCGGCUAAACUGUAACUGACGCUGAGGCACGAAAGCGUGGGGAUCGAACAGG